GGAAUCCAGGGGGCGCCAGAGAGCACCGUGGGACAAAACAACAACAGCCACAAACGCUCCACCCCCUGGAGACCAAAGAGGAAUCAGCCACUCCACAAACUGGCCUAACUCCUUCUGGGGGACACUGACACCCUCAAAGAGCUGGCAGCCCAACUUUUUCUUUUGGAAGACAUCUUUGCUGGAGGUGUCGGGGCCAUAGGUCACAUCCACGUGGCCCACGUGGUACUUGUUGCAGAGCCGGCAAAGCACGUUGCUGAGGAGGCCGCGCAUGAUGUCUACAGUAGCAUUGAGCUUGCUAUGGAGGCUCAGAGCAUUGGGGUUCAGGAUCCUCUGAUCCCGGGUGACGUUGCCCAGGGAAGCACUCAGGUCCCCUAGGAGGACUUGCCACCUGUUUGUUCUUCAGGUCUCCAUUCUCCACCCAAAUCAUCUUUCACCCCAACUUGUUACAGCGCCCCAACUCCACACACUUUGAGGUGAGAGGAAAUGGUGCAACCAGGAAAGAGACCAGAGAAAAGGUCGCAGGCAGACACGCAAGAGGAAAGCGAAAGGUGUCAGGGGAGCCGGGAGCUGUCCGGGCCUGUCCAGGAUCACCCCUCCCCCGGGGCGCCUGCCCCUUCUUCAGUUUCAGCUACACGGGCCCCCUCACCCCAGCCCAAACUUUCCAACACCCGGCUGAAGACACCUGAAGGUGACAGGGGCUGAAAUCAACUCUUGGAGGUCGGAGACCUCCCACCUGAACUCCCCAUGCUGGGACUAAAAAGACCGUAGACCAUUAAAUUCACUCCCCUGGUUAUCCCCGCGGAUCCCAGCAUCCCAGACAGUGUUGAAGCCCCGAGAUAGCUGCGGGGGUACCCAUACCCGCAUCUCACCUCGCGCCAAUCACAGCUUUCCA